rnacentral:rRNA from 1 species
GACGAACCGUGCGAACGUUAUUCGGAAUCACUGGGCUUAAAGGGCGUGUAGGCGGGCCGGAUAGUCAGGGGUGAAAGCCUCCAGCCCAACUGGAGAAGCGCCUUUGAUACUGUCGGCCUCGAGGGGUGCAGGGGCAUGCGGAACUCAGGGUGGAGCGGUGAAAUGCGUAGAUAUCCUGAGGAACACCGGUGGCGAAAGCGGCGUGCUGGACACCUUCUGACGCUGAGGCGCGAAAGCCAGGGGAGCGAACGGG